rnacentral:lncRNA from 1 species
CCCUGCCGUCAAAAGCUAUCUUGUAUGCUUCAGUGGAAGAUACAAGGCCAACAAAAAAAGGACUCAGGAUGCCAACACUGACCCACUCAGAGGGAGAAAAGAGACAUUCAGAAUUGGUCAUGGCUUUCCGGGAAGAUCAUCUGGAGACACCCCCUGGACCAAUGGCAUUUUCUCUCCCAAGUCUUAUGCCUCCCGAUGGCCUCAAGAGAUGAAGCUGAAUAGAGACAUUUCCCAAACCCAAGUCUGACCAGGAAGGCAAUGAGCCAGAACAGAAAAUAUCGAUGAGAACCUAGAUGUUCUAUCAAACCAAACCCUUGCCAGGAAGAGGAACACAUUAGCACUUGAGGUCAGUUGGCAUGUUUGGGCAACUGUGGAACAGGGAACACAAUUCAGAUUUAUCUUCACCAGCUCCAUGAGUGAAGCCCGGUCAUGGGACCUCUCUGAGCUUCAGUAUUCUCAUCUGUAAGAUGGGAAAUAAAUAAUAACUUAUUACAGGGCUGGCUGUUGGAUGGAUUAAAAUGGAAGUGAAGGUGUUUUGCUUGUAAUUGCAGAUGCUGGUGGGAUUUAGGAGAUUAUCUGGCAGUGGUGGUAUCAUUAUGCAGAGAAGCAGUGGAGGUGUGGAUCACCACCGGGUACCCAUCGGGGAAGGGCAUUCAUGAUCCCCAGAAAUGGCACCACUGAGGCAUGACAAGCUUUGAAAUUGUUUACUUGGGCAAGAGACACUCAACCUAUACAGGGACUACCUGCCAUCAGCACAGAAUGGUCUAAAACUGGCUUUGGGAAAAUGGCCUAGAAUCACAUUUUGAUUCUGGGUUUGUGAAUACAAACUCUAAAGUCAGAGUUAUACCAACAUUGAUGAAUUUUCACAAAGGAAGCAUUUUUCAAAGCAAACUCCCUUAAGCUAAUUUAAUUCCUCGAUCGAUGUCUUGCAUAGCGUAGUUAAAUUGUUUCCAACUUUUUUGGAAACAUUUUUACUGGGGUCAAUUCUUUUGUGUUUAAAUUUUAUAAAUAUUUGCUUCAUUGAUCAGGAUUUGGACCACAACAAAUUUUACUAAUUUAUAACUUCUGCCAUUUUGAGUUUUCUUUUGUGGUUAUUAUUUCCACCAAGUCAAGUCCAUUUCUCCUGGGUCAAAAUUGUACAGAGAUCCAAAAUUAGCUAAGAAGAUUUGAGUCAUCUAUGGAUUUUUAGUCAAUACCAAAUUUCACCCUGUGUGCUUUCAGCUCUUGUCAGUUUAUUUUGUGUGGCUUAUUUUUUUUACCAAUAAUAUUCACUGUGAAUUGGGCAAAAAAGAUGGAUGGUUAAUAUUUAUUUUUUUAGCUGAUAAUAAAUCCUGAGUGAUUUUGUAAGACAGAGGCAGAGAGAAGCAGAGAAGGGGAGAGGAUAGAAGAGAGGAAGAGAACUAGGGAGGAGGAAGAGAUCCAGAUGGAAGGAGGUACCAAGCAAAACAUGAAGACGGAGACAGAAAGAGAGAAAAACGAUGAGAAAGAGAAAGUGAGGAAGAGAAACAGAGAAGGAGAAAGAGAUGUUAGUAAGGUACAGAGAGGGAGAGAAUAAAAAGUGAGAU